rnacentral:lncRNA from 1 species
GAGAAAAUAUUUAGAAGAGUUGUAGCAGGUUUAUGUUAUUUCUUAUUUUCUAUCAAUUUUUUAUUAUAUUAUUAUUAUUAUAUUAUUAAUUUUUUAAUUUUAUAAGUAUAAUUUUAUUUAUGUUCUUUUAUGUAGUUGUAUAUUCUAUUGAGUUUCAAAAGAGGGGGCUUCCACAUGCUCAUAUUCUUUUAUUCCUUCAUGAUAAUGAUAAAUAUCCUUCUGCUAUGGAUAU